rnacentral:rRNA from 1 species
CAGCAAUGGGGAAUAUUGCCCAAUGGGCGGAAACCCUGAUGCAGCAACGCCGCGUGCGGGAUGACGGCCUUUCGGGUUGUAAACCGCUUUCGCCUGUGACGAAGCGUGAGUGACGGUAAUGGGUAAAGAAGCACCGGCUAACUACGUGCCAGCAGCCGCGGUGAUACGUAGGGUGCGAGCGUUGUCCGGAUUUAUUGGGCGUAAAGGGCUCGUAGGUGGUUGAUCGCGUCGGAAGUGUAAUCUUGGGGCUUAACCCUGAGCGUGCUUUCGAUACGGGUUGACUUGAGGAAGGUAGGGGAGAAUGGAAUUCCUGGUGGAGCGGUGGAAUGCGCAGAUAUCAGGAGGAACACCAGUGGCGAAGGCGGUUCUCUGGGCCUUUCCUGACGCUGAGGAGCGAAAGCGUGGGGAGCGAACAGGCUUAGAUACCCUGGUAGUCCACGCUGUAAACGGUGGGUACUAGGUGUGGGGUCCAUUCCACGGGUUCCGUGCCGUAGCUAACGCUUUAAGUACCCCGCCUGGGGAGUACGGCCGCAAGGCUAAAACUCAAAGGAAUUGACGGGGCCCCGCACAAGCGGCGGAGCAUGCGGAUUAAUUCGAUGCAACGCGUAGAACCUUACCUGGGUUUGACAUGGAUCGGGAGUGCUCAGAGAUGGGUGUGCCUCUUUUGGGGUCGGUUCACAGGUGGUGCAUGGCUGUCGUCAGCUCGUGUCGUGAGAUGUUGGGUUAAGUCCCGCAACGAGCGCAACCCUUGUUCACUGUUGCCAGCACGUUAUGGUGGGGACUCAGUGGAGACCGCCGGGGUCAACUCGGAGGAAGGUGGGGAUGACGUCAAGUCAUCAUGCCCCUUAUGUCCAGGGCUUCACGCAUGCUACAAUGGCUGGUACAGAGAGUGGCGAGCCUGUGAGGGUGAGCGAAUCUCGGAAGGCCGGUCUCAGUUCGGAUUGGGGUCUGCAACUCGACCUCAUGAAGUCGGAGUCGCUAGUAAUCGCAGAUCAGCAACGCUGCGGUGAAUACGUUCCCGGGGCUUGUACACACCGCCCGUCAAGUCAUGAAAGUUGGUAACACCCGAAGCCGGUGGCCUAACCGUUGUGGGGGAGCCGUCGAAGGUGGGAC